rnacentral:lncRNA from 1 species
UAAUGUCAAAGUGCUCUUUUUCUACUUUCAUAGCCUUGGUAGUAGGGCUUUUGAAAAAGGUCCCCUUUGCUGACAACUUCUUCAGGUCCUGGCUGGGAGCUUUUUACCUUCCAAACUGAAUUUCAAGCUACAGUAUUUUCACAAUUACCAUUUUUAUCUUCUCGUGGAAAAUGUAAAUUAACUGCUGAAUUUUUCUAAUUCUUUUUUUCUAAUUCUUGUUUUCCUUGGAAAAAAAAUUGUGGAAUCUGAAUAUUUUUCUUUUUGUAUUUCUUUUCACACAUGCUCUUCAGUGAAGCAAUUAAUUUAGAAUGCGUGCAGAAAAUGAAUUCUGGUUGGCUCAUGAUACCAUUUAAUUCUGGUUAGGACAGUCUCCUUCACAACAGAGUAUCUUUCUGUCUUAGGAAAUGAUCUUUGAAAGGUGUCCCCAGAGUGUGACUCAGCUGCUGGAACUGAGCCCUGACCUCCUGGGUCUGAUACAUUCCAUGUUGGGGAAUUCAGUUGUUCCAGAGCCACCUGGAGAGGAGAUCAAAGAGAUUGGCAGAAAGAAAGAAGCUGUGGGCUUGCAACAACAGGAUGAUGAAAACAAUUCAAAAGAUGUUUCUGAACUGCUCCUCUUGGAUACAAGCAGCAAAAUGUCUCCUAGGAUGCUUCAAGGACAGAGGAGCAGAUGA